UGGUAGAUGUGGCGGUGGCGGACUCCCGGGAUGGCAGGCUGGUCGCUGUGCUCUGCACGUCGUCAGGGGCUCUGCCGUGUGUUAUAUAUCAGCACAUUGUCCCUGACCCCAGUGCAUUGUCACUCAGCCUGGCUGUCCUCUGUAUGCUGCUGCC